GGAGGCGUGGCAGAGUGGACGAUUGCGCCAGUCUUGAAAACUGGAGUGCUGGAAACAGCACCAGAGGUUCGAAUCCUCUCGCCUCC
rnacentral:tRNA from 1 species